rnacentral:rRNA from 1 species
UGGAGCAUGUGGUUUAAUUCGAAGCAACGCGAAGAACCUUACCAGGUCUUGACAUCCCCUGACAACCCGAGAGAUCGGGCGUUCCCCUUCGGGGGGACAGGGUGACAGGUGGUGCAUGGCUGUCGUCAGCUCGUGUCGUGAGAUGUUGGGUCAAGUCCCGCAACGAGCGCAACCCUUAUCUUUAGUUGCCAUCAUUCAGUUGGGCACUCUAGCGAGACUGCCGGUAAUAAACCGGAGGAAGGUGGGGAUGACGUCAAAUCAUCAUGCCCCUUAUGACCUGGGCUACACACGUGCUACAAUGGUUGGUACAACGAGUUGCGAGUCGGUGACGGCGAGCUAAUCUCUUAAAGCCAAUCUCAGUUCGGAUUGUAGGCUGCAACUCGCCUACAUGAAGUCGGAAUCGCUAGUAAUCGCGGAUCAGCACGCCCGCGGUCGAAUACGUUCCCGGGCCUU